AGAGCGUAGGGCGAAUGCCUAGGCACCAAGAGCCGAAGAAGGACGCGGUAAGCUGCGAAAAGCUACGGAUAGCUGCAAACAAGCUAUGACCCGUAGAUAUCCGAAUGGGGGAACCCACCUGAGCAAACCUCAGGUAUCUUACUGUGAAUAAAUAGCAGGAAAGAAGGGAACCCGGAGAACUGAAACAUCUAAGUACCCGGAGGAAAAGAAAGUAACAACGAUUUCCCAAGUAGCGGCGAGCGAACGGGAAGAAGCCCGGUAGGGCGGAAGAAACUAGAAUAGUCGAAUAGCAUUGGAAAAACUACCGACACAGCGUAAAAGGCGCGUAGACGAAAUUCUAGAGAACCAAACUACCUUAACGAGUAGCAUGGAACACGAGAAAUUCUGUGUGAAAAUAGGAGGCCCACCUCCUAAGGCUAAAUACUACUUGGUGACCGAUAGUGGACCAGUACCGUGAGGGAAAGGUGAAAAGAACCCCGGAAGGGGAGUGAAAUAGAAUCUGAAACCCUAUGCUUACAAGCAGAGAAAGCACAUUAAAAGUGUAAUCUCGUACUUUUUGUAGAACGGGCCAGCGAGUUAUUGUAUAUAGCAAGAUUAAACCAUUAAGUGGUGGAGUCGAAGGGAAACCGAGUCUUAAUAGGGCGUAGAGUUAUAUAUAAUAGACCCGAAACCGGGUGAUCUAUCCAUGGGCAGGGUGAAAUAGCGGUAAAACGCUAUGGAGGCCCGAACCGGGUAUGGUUUAAAACAUAUCGGAUGACCUGUGGAUAGGGGUGAAAAGCCAAACGAACUCGGAUAUAGCUGGUUCUCCUCGAAAUAGCUUUAGGGCUAGCCUUUAGGAAAUUUAAUGGAGGUAGAGCACUGACUGGUUGCGGGGCGUGUAUACGCUACCAACACCUAUCAAACUCCGAAUACCAAGAAAAUGAUCCUAAGGAGUCAGACAUGGAGGGAUAAGCUCCCAUGUCAAAAGGGAAAGAGCCCAGACCACCGACUAAGGUCCCCAAAUACAGAUUAAGUGGUAAAGGAUGUGAAGUUACUGAGACAACCAGGAUGUUGGCUUAGAAGCAGCCAUACAUUUAAAGAGUGCGUAAUAGCUCACUGGUCAAGUGAUUUUGCGCCAAAGAUUUCCGGGGCUAAAUCUGAUACCGAAGUCGUGGACUUGUAAUACAAGUGGUAGAGGAGCAUUGUAUGAAGGCAGAAGCAGUACCGUAAGGAGCUGUGGACAUCAUAGAAGAGAGAAUGCUGGCAUAAGUAGCGAUAAGGCGAGUGAGAAUCUCGCCCGUCGAAAACCUAAGGAUUCCUGGGCAAGGCUCGUCCCCCCAGGGUAAGUCGGGACCUAAGGCCAGGCUGAAAAGCGUAGCCGAUGGACAACAGGUUGAAAUUCCUGUACUAUCUUAAAUCGCAACUAGCAACGUGGGGACGCAGGAGGAUAGCCUUACCGUACAGAAAGGAAAAGUACGGCUAAAUAACAAGCGAGAGUCUACAGGGAAAACCGUAGACUAAGAUACCCGUACCGUAAACCGACACAGGUAGGAAAGGAGAGAAUCCUAAGACGCGCGGAAGAACCUUUGUUAAGGAACUCGGCAAAAUGACCCCGUAACUUAGGGAGAAGGGGAACCGGUGGGACAACCCAUCGGUCGCAGUGAAUAGGCCCAAGCGACUGUUUACCAAAAACACAAGUUUCUGCUAAGUCGUAAGACGAAGUAUAGGAGCUGACACCUGCCCGGUGCUGGAAGGUUAAGGGGAAGGCUUAGCGUAAGCGAAGGCUAGAACUUAAGCCCCAGUAAACGGCGGCCGUAACUAUAACGGUCCUAAGGUAGCGAAAUUCCUCGUCGGGUAAGUUCCGACCCGCACGAAAGGUGUAACGAUUUGGGCACUGUCUCAACAAAGGAUCCGGUGAAAUUGUAGUAUGCGUGAAGAUGCGCAUUACCCGCGGCAGGACGGAAAGACCCCAUGGAGCUUUACUGUAGGCUGACAUUGGAUUUCGGUAAAACAUGUACAGAAUAGGUGGGAGACUAAGAACCAAGGGCGUCAGCUUUUGGGGAGUCAAAAAAUGGGAUACCACUCUUGUUUUACUGGAAUUCUAACCCAGGACCAUAGAACUGGUUCGGGGACACUGUCAGUUGGGCAGUUUGACUGGGGCGGUCGCCUCCUAAACAGUAACGGAGGCGCUCAAAGGUUCCCUCAGCACGGACGGAAAUCGUGCAAAGAGUGCAAAGGCAGAAGGGAGCUUAACUGCAAGACAUACAGGUCGAGCAGAUACGAAAGUAGGACUUAGUGAUCCGGUGGUACCGAGUGGAAGGGCCAUCGCUCAACGGAUAAAAGCUACCCUGGGGAUAACAGGCUUAUCUCCCCCAAGAGUUCACAUCGACGGGGAGGUUUGGCACCUCGAUGU
rnacentral:rRNA from 1 species